GGUUUAGCACGUCCGUUCUCCCUUCAUAUUCCGAUUAAUGGAAAAUCUCAUCGAGUUCGAGUAAUUUAUUUGUCUUGCCUUCCCUAUUCCAUAACGGAUCAGGAGCCCUAGAUGUCUUUCUAUUCUCUCCCCAACAACAAAUCUUCAUUGCUUUUCCAUUCUCUCCUCAAUAGCAGAUGAAAGUUUCAAAUCGAGCUUAGAAACCGGCGAUCAAUAAGCACUCUCAUCAUCUUGCUCAAUUGCUCUUAAUGGAUUCUUCUCACCUUCCUUAUUCCUUAACGGCUCAGAAACCCUAGGCUUCCUUGGAUUCUAUCUUCAACGACAGAAGAUAUGCCCAAUCCAAUUGAAUAUUUGGCGUCUUUACAGAACUUAAACGCUCAUCCCUUGGUUAAUUGGAUUUUGUCUAUAAAAUGUCCAAUUCAAUUCGAGAACAGGAUCCGUUUUACCAGUUCAACAUGCUUUUGGGUGUGAAAGUAAACUCUUCUGAUUGAAGUUGUUGGAGUUAAAUGUGGAAUUCGGGAGGAAAAGUACACGUCUGUCACUUCCGGCGGCAAGGUAAUUCACUAACUUCCUAAUAAGUUCACCACACUAUCCAAGUCUUGCUCUGUUUCCAAUUUUCCAUUAACGGUAUUUGAUUCCCCCCCUAAAAUGAUUCUUUGAAGUUUGCAAUGCCAAUUAAUAAAGGCAAAGCACCCAUUCAUAUUUUUGAUCCUGAAAAUUGAAAAAUAGUAUAUCUCACCUCCUCUCCGCCAAAAGAGAUCCAUCCUGCCAGGUUAGUUUUUCGAUCCCUAAAAGAAUUUUAGUUGUUUUAGGUUAUUGUGCAUCUUAUUUUUCUUCCAGAAAACUCUAUUUAUUUGUGCAGUUAACAUAUCUGCGACAAUCCAUAUACGUUAACUCUUUAUACACAGGCAGCAAAUGUUAUCAUGCAUAACGCCAGUGCCACCAAUCUGCUGAUUGAAAGUGGAUGGCACUAUCUCGCAUGCCAUCGGUGUGGCAAAAAAGUACUUGGUGAUGAUGGUGACUUUUGGUGUAUUAAUUGUGAAUCCAAAGUUGAUAUGCCCAUAGCAAGGUAACCACCCAAAAAAGAAAGCUCGCCUUGAUGAAAAUUCAAAUGGAUGAUAAAGAAGAUGCUUAAUGAGUUCCGCCUCAACAACUGAAUAUUAGAUUGAAGAAAACAUUCCAAGUAUUUUUAGUAAUUUUAUGAGCUUUAUGUUUUCUUUGUUUCCAUACCAUGUUUACCAAUUUGCUUACAUACUUGAUAAUAGCCAAUGGCCAUGCUCUAAUAAUGAGUGAUGGCAUUUCAGUAGGCCGAAGUUUAAUAGGAGAGACGAAUUAAUAGGGAUUGUUAGAGUUUCAUUUGUUUUUUUUAGCUGCAGCCGUCCCUGUUCUUUGAAUCACUGUCUAAUGUUAUCAGUCAACAAAUAUUUAUCUACACUGUCAUUUUAAUUUAAUCUUAACUGGAUUCUUUGUGGUUUUGACUUUGGUUUGUUAAUUUUAUCUUGACCGUGUGCAGUAGUAACUCCACAUUUCUAUGAUCAAGCUGCGAUUCAAACUUCCGGAUUAAUGAGAAGACUAGGCGGCCGAAGUUGAUAACAACGUUCUGUUGACCAACCCAAUGGUCACCAACUCUUGCACCUUUCAACAGAGAGCAUCGAGUUACCAUUGCCGAUAUUAAGUCAACAUGGGUGCUGGUACAAAUACUCUCUUUCAAAGACCGUGGUUAAUCAUUUACUGCCCUAUAUGCUUCAUACAUAUGUCAAAACGGGAACACCGUAGUCUCUAUAAAACAUGCUUGACCAGAAUACUCAACACGGCAAGGCUAAUCUUAACCAUGGAAGUCCGCCAUGGAACAGGGACGACAACCUUUGCUGCCGAUGGAAUUGUGGCAGAACGUCUUUUGGGAAACAUGGUGGAUUCACUGAUGCAUAUGAAAGAGGAUAUGAGCCCUCUCCAGGUAGCGGAGCAGGACGAGGAAAUAUUAGACGAUACUCUGGACAUUGCAAAUGUGGCGAAACAACUUCAACAUCUAUACAGCUCGAUGGGACACCCUUUUCGAGGGAGUUGCUGAAUCAAUGGAGGAGACACAUGGAUGAUCAAAACUCAGAUCAGACAUUUAGAUUCGUUUUGCUUUCUUUUCGUGCACAUUUAAAUUUUUUAUUGGUUCUUUUAAUCUUGGCAUCAGUUGGAGCUUCAACGAAAAUAAUUCUUUUUAUCUAAUACUAAAAAAAAGGAGGGAUUAAUGA